GGGCUUGUGGUUUAGUGGUAUAAUACUCCCUUAGCAUCUGAAAAUGGCAUCCUCAUUCCGUGAGGAUAGCAUGCCAGUAAGAUUAAAUGGGAGUGGUCCGGGGUUCGAUUCCCCGCGAGUCCA
rnacentral:tRNA from 1 species